rnacentral:rRNA from 1 species
UACGAAGGGGGCUAGCGUUGUUCGGAAUCACUGGGCGUAAAGGGUGCGUAGGCGGGUCUUUAAGUCAGGGGUGAAAUCCUGGAGCUCAACUCCAGAACUGCCUUUGAUACUGAGGAUCUUGAGUUCGGGAGAGGUGAGUGGAACUGCGAGUGUAGAGGUGAAAUUCGUAGAUAUUCGCAAGAACACCAGUGGCGAAGGCGGCUCACUGGCCCGAUACUGACGCUGAGGCACGAAAGCGUGGGGAGCAACAGG